AGGGAGAUAUUGUAAGGUGUUGUGGAUUUGUUGGUGUUCAAUUCCAGAUGAAACAUCAAAGAUCUUGUGGAUUUGUUUGGAAGCAGUCUCACACAGAGGUGAGGGAGCUCUCAUAGUAGAGAGAGAAUCUCUCAUUUAAGAGAGAGACUGGGACAGUAAUUUGCAUGUUACUUAGUGUUCCUCUCCCUUAGGCAUCUUCAGUUCAACGAUGUCCACAGAAAUUCUUCUCUCUCCCUCUCUUCCCCCACCACCCCACUCUAUCCUCAAGGGUCUAUAAAUUGGUUGAGGCCAAGCCACAUUAAGUUCACUCAACAAUCUUGUCUUGAUCACCUUAAUUGUGUUGUUAAGAAAAACAUGGCAUCCUCCUCCAAGACUUUUCUUCUUCUUGGCUUUAUGUGUGCUCUUGUGAUCCUCAUCUCCUCUGAGGUCUCAGCUCGUGAGCUAGCGGAAAUUACUAAGCCAGCAAUUCCUGUUAGGGGCAAUACCUAUCCCUUUAAAGGCCGUCCAAGUGCGCGAACUGUCAGAUGCAUGCAGUCCGUAUACCUAUCAAUUUAGAACAUUUCGCCGGGCCCCGCCCCCUCCCCCGGCCCUAGCCCCGCACUGGCAGCAGCGCCGGGCCCUACCCCUGCCCCCGGCACCGGAACCGGAACCGGAACCGCCCCUGCCCCCUCUUCCCCCGGCACCGGAACCACCCCCAUCCCCGUCCCCACCCUUGGCUCCUGUCCCGGGAGAGUAUAGGCAAGGCCAAGGGCACCAUGAAAAACCAGGACUUGGUGUUGCUGAGACUGAAACUGGGAAUUAAAUAGAUAACCCUUUUUCAGUGGAUAUUGCAGGUACUGUGUGGUAAUAAUUAAGAGUUUGUUUUGUCAAUAAAGGUCAAUGUAAUGUAUUGGUUGAGUUGUUAAUAAAACUCUCAAUCAUAAUUAAGUAGGAUUUUAAGGUUUAUCUUUG